rnacentral:rRNA from 1 species
AUUGAACGCUAGCGGGAUGCUUUACACAUGCAAGUCGAACGGAGUGGCGGACGGGUGAGUAAUAUAUCGGAACGUGCCCAGUAGCGGGGGAUAACUACUCGAAAGAGUGGCUAAUACCGCAUACUCUUGGAGCGGCCGAUAUCGGAUUAGUUAGUGGGUGGGGUAAAGGCUCACCAAGGCAACGAUCCGUAGCCGGUUUGAGAGGACGACCAGCCACACUGGGACUGAGACACGGCCCAGACUCCUACGGUGGGCAGCAGUGGGGAAUUUUGGACAAUGGGGGAAACCCUGAUCCAGCAAUCCGGGGUGUAUGAGGAAGGCCUUCGGGUUGUAAAGUACUUUUAGCAGAGAAGCGGUACCUGCAGAAUAAGCACCGGCUAACUACGUGCCAGCAGCCGCGGUAAUUC